GGCCCGUUGGUCAAGUGGUUAAGACACCGCCCUUUCACGGCGGUAACACGGGUUCGA
rnacentral:tRNA from 1 species